rnacentral:rRNA from 1 species
GCGGCCUGGUGUCAGCGGCAGACGGGUGAGUAACGGUGGGAACGUGCCCUUCGGUUGGAAUAAUCAGGGAAACUGAGUAAACCGGAUACGCCCUUAGGGGAAAGUUGACUGCCGAAGGAUCGGCCCGCGUCUGAUUAGCUAGUUGGUGAGGUUAUGGCUCACCAAGGCGACGAUCAGUAGCUGGUCUGAGAGCAGCCACACUGGGACUGAGACACGGCCCAGACUCCUACGGGAGGCAGCAGUGGGGAAUAUUGGACAAUGGGGGCAACCCUGAUCCAGCCAUGCCGCGUGAGUGAUGACGGCCUUAGGGUUGUAAAGCUCUUUUCUCCGGGACGAUAAUGACGGUACCGGAGGAAUAAGCCCCGGCUAACUCGUGCCAGCAGCCGCGGUAAUACGAAGGGGGCUAGCGUUGCUCGGAAUCACUGGGCGUAAAGGGCGCGUAGGCGGCUGAUUUAGUCGAGGGUGAAAGCCCGUGGCUCAACCACGGAAGCCUUCGAUACUGAUUGGCUUGAGACCGGAAGAGGACAGCGGAACUGCGAGUGUAGAGGUAAAUUCGUAGAUAUUCGCAAGAACACCAGUGGCGAAGGCGGCUGCCCGACGGCGAAAG